CCUUACCUGGCCUUGACAUACUAAGAACUUUCCAGAGAUGGAUUGGUGCCUUCGGGAACUUAGAUACAGGUGCUGCAUGGCUGUCGUCAGCUCGUGUCGUGAGAUGUUGGGUUAAGUCCCGCAACGAGCGCAACCCUUUUCCUUAUUUGCCAGCGGGUUAAGCCGGGAACUUUAAGGAUACUGCCAGUGACAAACUGGAGGAAGGCGGGGACGACGUCAAGUCAUCAUGGCCCUUACGGCCAGGGCUACACACGUGCUACAAUGGUCGGUACAAAGGGUUGCUACCUCGCGAGAGGAUGCUAAUCUCAAAAAGCCGAUCGUAGUCCGGAUCGCAGUCUGCAACUCGACUGCGUGAAGUCGGAAUCGCUAGUAAUCGCGGAUCAGAAUGCCGCGGUGAAUACGUUCCCGGGCCUUAUACACACCGCCCGUCACACCAUGGGAGUUUGUUGCACCAGAAGUAGGUAGUCUAACCGCAAGGAGGACGCUUACCACGGUGUGGCCGAUGACUGGGGUGAAGUCGUAACAAGGUAGGCGUAGAUGA
rnacentral:rRNA from 1 species